rnacentral:rRNA from 1 species
GACGUAGGGUCCGAGCGUUGUCCGGAGUUACUGGGCGUAAAGGGUGCGCAGGCGGCGGUUCGCGUGGCGAGAUGAAAUCUCCUGGCUUACCUGGGAGGAUGGUCGCCAGACGGGAUCGCUUGAGGGUCGGAGAGGGGCGUGGAAUUCCGGGUGGAGCGGUGAAAUGCGUAGAGAUCCGGAGGAACACCGGUGGCGAAGGCGGCCUGCUGGGCAGUGGCUGACGCUGAGGCGCGACAGCGUGGGGAGCAAACAGG